UACGACUACAUAUCAGGCAUAUCAAUAAGCGGAGGAAAAGAAACUAACAAGGAUUCCCUUAGUAACGGCGAGUGAAGCGGGAAGAGCUCAAAUUUGAAAUCUUCAAGGUUUUACCUUGACGAAUUGUAGUUUAAAGAAGUGUUUUCUGUUGGUGUUUUGGUAAAAGUUCUUUGGAAUAGGACAUCAUAGAGGGUGAGAAUCCCGUAUUUGACCAUUACUUCCAGCGUUGUGAUACACUUUCAAAGAGUCGGAUUGUUUGGGAAUGCAGUCCAAAAUGGGUGGUAAAUUUCAUCUAAAGCUAAAUAUUGGCGAGAGACCGAUAGCGAACAAGUACCGUGAGGGAAAGAUGAAAAGAACUUUGAAAAGAGAGUUAAACAGUACGUGAAAUUGUCAAAAGGGAAGCGUUUGACACCAGUGUUGUUUUCUCGAAAAUCAAUUAAAAAGUAUGGGAUUUUGUAUUGUUAAGACCUUAUCAGCUUACGGUACUUUUUUCUUAUUCUUUCUUAAUGCACUUUUCGUUUAACAAGUCAACAUCAAUUUCUUUUGUUGUAAAAGAGUCAUUGGAAGGUGGCUUUCACUUCGGUGAAAGUGUUUAUAGCCUUUGGCUUCUACAAUCGGAGAGAUUGAGGUCUGCAGCGUAGAUACUUCGGGGUUAGAUACGUAGAUGCUAAGUUAUAGUUUUUUCAUAGACAACUUGUUGACUAUGAUUAAUCAUGUAGCUUACUCGUUAUGCCUAUUUUACCUACGCUUAGGAUGUUGAAUCUGUGCGAGACUA
rnacentral:rRNA from 1 species